CAAACAGCAAGAGGAUUUUUAUUCCGAGCGCGCUGGGGCCCACAGUCGUACGCCACGCAGGGGUAGAGGACUGCGGCCCCGAGUGUGGAGUCGGGACAGCUUUUAUGGGGUUCACAACAAAGCCCGCGCUUUUACAAACUAAUCAUUUUUAAAAUAUCGCAAACCAGUCAAUUCAAAACUUCGAGAGCCCGCGCUUUGUGGACCAAUUAAUUUUAAGUUGUUCUGGAGUUACAUGUUUGUGCCUGUCUCUGGGUGGGGGAGACAUAUUGUCACCAAGAUAUAUUUAUCAGGAUUUUCAACAUUUUGUGGCACGCCCGAUCUUACUGGGGUCGGUUAGGCAAUUGACUUCUCCUCUUUUUAUCUUAUGCAAGCAGGUUUACAGAAGCCAAACAAGCAGUUAGGAGCAGUUUCAAGAAGUUUCAAGCAUAGAGGCACAUACUCAGGGGCCUGUUUUUCCCCUUCCACAAAGUUUUGUACAGAGCAGAAAGCAAGCCCUAAAACAGCAAAAAGUAUGAUCUUUUACCUAUAGGGAACAGGGUCUGGAAUUCGAGGGCAUUUAGAGCUUCUUAUUAACUUCCUGGGUUCUGGGAGAGUCAGGUUGCAUUUUCAUCCUUUCAGCAUCUCCCUGAUCUUUCUUCUGUAUUCAUUUCUUCUGACCACAGCCGGAAAGACUCUCUGCUUUUAAGGUCUCCUGUGAUUAAACUGGGCCCAGAUAAUUCAGAAUAAUCCAGAUAAUCCAGAAUAAUUUUCCUAUUUCAAGGUCCUUGAGUUAACAAAAUCUGCAAAGUCUCUUUGCCAAAUAAGGCAAUAUGUUCACAGGUUCUGGGGAUUAGGAUGUGGGUAUCUUUGGGGAGGGGGCAUUAUUCUGCCUACCAUGGGGAUGAAGAGAAAUGAAUUCCCAAAGGAAAGAAGCACUCCUACUAUACUGUUCUGUGUUAUGCGGGGUUCUUGGGAAAAUCCCCAAAUGUAGCCUGAAUUGGCUGGUUCUAGCCAAGUAGCAAAUUUUCAUUUCUUAUAGAAACAAUAUACUAGCAUAUCAUGACCACUGUUCAUAAGCAAGACAGGCCAGAGUCACUGAUAUUUAUAGGCAGCCUGUAAGAUAUUUUCAUGACUCAUUGAGUGAUAUCCACUAAUCCUUUGGUUAAAAAUCUGUCUUAUUUAUGAAUCGUGUUUCCUUACUUUUUCAACAUGCAUUUCUCAAUACUCAGUCAAGGUAGGUAAGCUUGUCACUUUGAAUCUUUUUUUUGCUUUUUAGGGCUGCACCCUGCAGCAUAUGGAAGUUCCCAGGCUAGGGGUUGAAUCGGAGCUACAGCUGCUAGCCUACAUCAUAGCCAUAGCAAUGCCAGAUCUGAGCCGCGUCUGCAACCUACACCACAGUUCAUGGCAAUGCCGGGUCCUUAAUCCACUGAGCAAGGCCCAGGAUUGAACCACAUCCUCAUGGAUACUAGUCAGAUUCGUUCCCACUGUACCACAACAGGAACUCCCAAUGUCACUUUGAAUCUUAACGUAAAAAGAAAUUGUAAAAAUAUUUUUACCCGUGUCCUAGAAUUAAACCUCGUUGUCGCAAUUUCUCAGGGAGGAAUCACAAGUUCUUUGGCAAUGGAAGAUUCCUAUCUAUAGGAGGAAGACCAAAAGCACUACAGAUGAUACUUAGAUAUUUUGGGUACCUUAUAUAUAAGACCAGUUGAGGAAGAACAAAAAAACAAACUUGGUUUACAGAUGGGCAAUAUGUACAAUAUGCUGGCACCAUUCGAAAAUGAGACAGCUGCAGUAUUGCAGCCCAUGCAGGGGGGGCCCUGCAGGACAAAGGUAAAGGAAAAGCCUUCCCACGGGCAGAAUUUUGACUGAUAGAUUUGGUUGUCUGUGUCUAGAGUAAGGGGUGGACCGAAGCAUGGAUCUAUCCUGUUUUGGGGCAGUUGCCGAUUGUUGGGCUGGUGAAUUUGGAGACUUGGAAGAAACAGGACUGAGAGAUUGGUGACAAGCAGGUUUAGAGAGGAGGUGAUGUGGAAGGACCUCCAUGAAUAGGCACAAACUGUGAAGAUAUUUGUGUUCCACAUGAAAGCCCACCUGAGCACAUCUACUGCAAUGAGGGUUAAUCAUCAGAUGGACACAAUGAUGCUCUGAGAUGUCAGUCACUUUCCCUAGUGGACCCCUGAGCAAAGUGGCUGCCGUGACUGGGAUGGAGGCUACACGUGGGCUCAGUACCAUGGACUUCUGCUAAUGAAGCCCGACUUGGCUAACACUCCUUCUGAGUGCCCAACCUACAUAUGGCAAAGGCCACCAUCACGUCCCAUUGGGUGGCUUCUCCAACACAUGACACCCAGCAGCCAGCAGUUGGCACCCCUUCACACAGUGAGAUACCUUCCCAUAAAUAGCUUUAUCCAGCACCCUAGAUGAUGGAUUUCCAGCACUUUCCAAAGGACAGGUUUCCAGUAAGUUCGGCCAGCACAGUGCCACACAGACCUCCAUCAUCUCUGUGAGUCACUGCUAAGUGAUAUCAUAUGGUAUUUACCUUUCUCUUUCGGAUUGACUUCAUUUCGUAUGAGGGUCUCUAGUUCCAUCCACGUUGCUACAGAUGGCACUAUUUUGUUCUUUUUUAUGGCCGAAUAGUAUUCCAUUGUGUAUAUAUACCCCAUCUUCUUAAUCCAUUCAUCUGUUGAUGGACAUUUAGGUUGUUUCCAUAUCUUGGCUAUUGUGAAGAGUGACUUACAGGACGCGGGCAGCCGCCGGGAGACCCAUUUGGUCGGGUAGGGCGGCAGCUGCAGUGGACGACAGCCAGCGCCGCGAACAGCCGGGCUCCAGGAUCCCGACCGCGUUUUCCCGGCUUCCAAACAACCGCGUUCGCCCCGCCCU
rnacentral:lncRNA from 1 species